rnacentral:rRNA from 1 species
UGGGGAAUCUUGCACAAUGGGGGCAACCCUGAUGCAGCGACGCCGCGUGAACGAUGAAGCCCUUCGGGGUGUAAAGUUCUUUCGGCAGGAACGAUAAUGACGGUACCUGAAGAAGAAGCUGCGGCUAACUACGUGCCAGCAGCCGCGGUAAUACGUAGGCAGCAAGCGUUGUUCGGAGUUACUGGGCGUAAAGAGUGCGUAGGCGGUUUUCUAAGUUUGGUGUGAAAUCUCCCGGCUUAACUGGGAGGGUGCGCCGAAAACUGGAAGGCUCGAGGAUGGGAGAGGCAUGCGGAAUUCCUGGUGUAGCGGUGAAAUGCGUAGAUAUCAGGAGGAACACCUGCGGUGUAGACAGCAUGCUGGACCAUUUCUGACGCUGAGGCACGAAAGCGUGGGUAGCAAACAG